rnacentral:rRNA from 1 species
UACGUAGGGGGCAAGCGUUAUCCGGAAUCAUUGGGCGUAAAGCGCGUGUAGGCGGUUCCGUAAGUCCGCUCUGAAAGCCCAGGGCUCAACCCUGGGAGGCGGGUGGAUACUACGGAACUGGAGUACGGAAGAGGAGAUUGGAAUUCCUGGUGUAGCGGUGAAAUGCGCAGAUAUCAGGAGGAACACCAACAGCGAAGGCAGAUCUCUGGGACGCUACUGACGCUGAGACGCGAAAGCGUGGGGAGCAAACAGG